AUUGAACGCUGGCGGCAGGCUUAACACAUGCAAGUCGAACGAGUGGCGGACGGGUGAGUAAUGCUUGGGAAUCUGGCUGAUGGAGGGGGAUAACUACGGGAAACUGUAGCUAAUACCGCAUACCAUAGGAUGAGCCCAGGUGGGAUUAGGUAGUUGGUGGGGUAAGGGCCUACCAAGGCGACGAUCUCUAGCUGGUCUGAGAGGAUGAACAGACACCAUGGGACUGAGACACGGCCCGGACUCCUACGGGAGGCAGCAGUGGGGAAUAUUGCGCAAUGGGGGCAACCUGAUGCAGCCAUGCCGCGUGAAUGAAGAAGGCCUUCGGGUUGUAAAGUGCUUUCGGCGACGAGGCGUUACUCACAGAAGAAGCACCGGCUAACUCCGUGCCAGCAGCCGCGGUAAUAC
rnacentral:rRNA from 1 species